rnacentral:rRNA from 1 species
AUAGCGGCAAAGAAUCAAUAUACUUUUAAUGUCGAAUCGGGAUUCACUAAGACAGAAAUAAAGCAUUGGGUUGAACUCUUCUUUGGUGUUAAGGACUAG